CACACACACACACUCACUACAAAUAGCAUCUGACGCAAGUCAGGGUAGCUGUUCAGAUGCUGACAUAUCAUUGCUUAUACAUGUAUUUUUAGCUCACCUCUUUCAUCGUUGCAUUAUAUGCUUUUCCAUUAAAUCUAAGGAAUCUCCACCUCUUUAAAGACAUCGUGUUGAAGUUGUCCCUUUCAUUUUCAUCUGUUACUGGGUGAUGUAUGCUUCUGUAGUUCUGAGGGGAAAUAAUCUAAGCACCGAGGGUGGGCCUUGGUCUCUUGCUGGCUGAGCAGGAGUUGAAAGAGGAGGUCCUAGUCUUUUAGACACAAUGUCCAGUGGAGUGGAAUACUGUUACUACAAGAGUAUUUUUUGAUGCUUGCUCCCUGCUGAUCAUGCCUGAAAACACUUUCUAGAAAUCUGAUGUGUCAGAAGGGAACUCUGCCAUGCUGACUUCACAGCACCAGGAUCACAAGGAGCUGUAAGACACUUCGGGGGUUUAGUAUACCAUUGCCUGCAUGUGGUGAGAAGAUAUCAAUAUUUAUUCAGGUUGAACAUCUAGAGUGGGAUGAUGGAAUCUAAUGGUUUACAUUUUCUCAGUGCCAUCUGUAUAAAUUACCAGACUGCUUUCCAAUCCAGCAGAGGCUGGAGAUAUGGAUAUAGGGGAUGAGCCUCCUGCCUUUAAUUAGCAGCAGCCCCAGGGUGAGAAAAAGAAGCAACCAUAUAAAAUUCUCUAAAGUACAUCUGGGGAGGUGCAGGAGUUAACAGGUAACUUAAUGACACUCUACUAUCCGAUGUCCAAAUUUGAUUACUUUUAAAUGAAAAAUGUCAAACUGAUCUCAGUUGGACUGUGUGAAAUGAUAACCAUAUUACUCCUACCCUUAGGACAACGUAAUUCAUGACAAAACAUAAUAUAAAAGUGGUAGUGUAUCCUUCCCUCAGGAAACCAGAGAGACAGCACCGGCCCUGAUCACUGACAGUGGAGAUCAGUACUCACAGAAUAUCAGUCUUCGUUGUCAACAGAGGCAAUGGAAUCCUAGCAUAACCUGGAAUAGGAACAAUGAGUUUGAGGAAUGGUUUUUGAACUGAAGCAAGGCAGAGCAUGUGGUGUGGGGCACUCAUUUCUGGCAAGAUCUGAUGAAGGUGAUCACAAGGUUUAAUCUGUUUAUACAGACACAUACUGUAUGUAUCUUUAUAUAUAAAAAGACGCAUAUGUAUACAUAUGUAUCUGUAUAAACAUGCCUCUUUACGUGAAUAUACAUAUACAGAAAUAUGUAUAUACA